rnacentral:lncRNA from 1 species
UUUGUUUUCAAUUGGUGAUUUGGUGUGAGUAGCAGUUAUUUAAAAGUCUCUGUGGCAUAAAUUAAACGAUUUUAAUUUAGAUAUUGACAAAUUGACAUUUGUUUUCCUGAAGGUCGCUAUGAUCUUCUUAUUUUAUUAUUCUGUUCAUACGUAUCUCUUUUUAUUCAUACUUACAUUAUCCGCUGUGAUGUUUAACUUCCUGUAGCCAUUUUUAAAACGUAAA